AUAUUAAAGUUAAUCAUUUCGAGGAAUUAAUUAAUAUCUUUACUCACAAGAAGGAUAACUCUAAUGCGGGGUGCUCUGGGUCGGGUCCUUCAAAGAUUCACGGGAAAACGAGCAAUCAAGAUGAAACAAACUUGAGCAGGAAGCUACUAAUCCUUUACAGAUAGCAACCAAUGGGGAGGGUAUGCAUAGCGAGCCCAAUUUGGAGAAUGCUCAAGCAAGUAUGCGUAACGAGCUCAAUUUAGAGAAUUCUCCAACGGGUAUGCGUAAAGAGCCCAAUUUGGAGAAUUCUCAAGUAGAGACAGGUUUCGGAAUACAAAGGCUCGAUAGGAAUAAGGGGAAACUUUCUGUUGGGCUAAGCAGACCACCCCCAUCUGGUUGUAGUGGUUGUCAAAUGUUGAGAGAAAUUACCCAUCGUAAAGGCUCCCUUGUUAAGAAACUACAGAUUCAUGGUGAAUUAUCACGUGGACGUUUUUUUCAUGCUCUCAAUAAUGUUUUAGACGACGAUACGACUGUGGUUUUAGAU